UCGACAACGAAUAGCCACAGCUGGACAAUGAUCAAGGGAGGUGGAUGUUUAUGUCGUGUUUGACCCUGGUAUUUUGGACAGAAGCAGAUGCUGAAUGAGACCAAGACGAUAUUCUCGGAGUCUCAGAUCAAUGUGAACCUGUCCACGACAACAGAGUUCUCCAUGUUCAGAGCUCCGGUCUUAAGGACUGCCGAGGCCUGCUUCAAGGCCCUUGGUCCGCUCGCCCACAUGA
rnacentral:sRNA from 1 species